UACGGGGGGGGCAAGCGUUGUUCGGAAUUACUGGGCAUAAAGGGCUCGUAGGCGGCCAACUAAGUCAGACGUGAAAUCCCUCGGCUUAACCGGGGAACUGCGUCUGAUACUGGAUGGCUAGAGGUUGGGAGAGGGAUGCGAAAUUCCAGGUGUAGCGGUGAAAUGCGUAGAUAUCUGGAGGAACACCGGUGGCGAAGGCGGCAUCCUGGACCAAUUCUGACGCUGAGGAGCGAAAGCCAGGGGAGCAAACGGG
rnacentral:rRNA from 1 species